rnacentral:rRNA from 1 species
CUAGACUCCUACGGGAGGCAGCAGUGGGGAAUAUUGCACAAUGGGGGAAACCCUGAUGCAGCGACGCCGCGUGAGCGAGGAAGUAUUUCGGUAUGUAAAGCUCUGUCAGCAGGGAAGAAGAAUGACGGUACCUGAAGAAGAAGCACCGGCUAAAUACGUGCCAGCAGCCGCGGUAAUACGUAUGGUGCAAGCGUUAUCCGGAUUUACUGGGUGUAAAGGGAGCGCAGGCGGUUCUGCAAGUCUGAUGUGAAAGCCCGGGGCUCAACCGCGGGACUGCAUUGGAAACUGCAGGACUGGAGUGUCGGAGGGGUAAGCGGAAUUCCUGGUGUAGCGGUGAAAUGCGUAGAUAUAUGGAAGAACACCGGUGGCGAAGGCGGCCGCCCGGACUGUAACUGACGCUGAGGCACGAAAGCGUGGGGAGCAAAUAGGAUUAGAUACCCGCGUAU